CGGGGUGUAGCGCAGUUGGCUAGCGCGCCUCGUUUGGGACGAGGAGGCCNNCCACCCCGA
rnacentral:tRNA from 1 species